rnacentral:rRNA from 1 species
GACGAACGCUGGCGGUGUGCUUAACAUAUGCAAGUCGAACGGAAAGGCCCUGCUUUUGUGGGGUGCUCGAGUGGCGAACGGGUGAGUAACACGUGAGUAACCUGCCCUUGACUUUGGGAUAACUUCAGGAAACUGGGGCUAAUACCGGAUAGGAGCUCCUGCUGCAUGGUGGGGGUUGGAAAGUUUCGGCGGUUGGGGAUGGACUCGCGGCUUAUCAGCUUGUUGGUGGGGUAGUGGCUUACCAAGGCUUUGACGGGUAGCCGGCCUGAGAGGGUGGCCGGCCACAAUGGGACUGAGAUACGGCCCAGACGCCUACGGGAGGCAGCAGUGGGGAAUAUUGCACAAUGGGCGGAAGCCUGAUGCAGCAACGCCGCGUGCGGGAUGACGGCCUUCGGGUUGUAAACCGCUUUCGCCUGUGACGAAGCGUGAGUGACGGUAAUGGGUAAAGAAGCACCGGCUAACUACGUG